rnacentral:rRNA from 1 species
AUUGAACGCUGGCGGCAGGCUUAACACAUGCAAGUCGAGCGAGCGGAGGACGGGUGAGUAAUUUCUGGGACACUGCCUGAUGGAGGGGGAUAACUACUGGAAACGGUAGCUAAUACCGCAUCCCAUCAGAUGUGCUCAGAUGGGAUUAGCUAGUAGGUGGGGUAAUGGCUACCCUGGGCGACGAUCCCUAGCUGGUCUGGGAGGAUGACCGGCCACCCGGGAACUGGACAAGGGUCCGGACUCCAACGGGAGGCAGCAUGGGGGAAUAUUGCACAGUGGGCGCAAGCCGGAGGCAGCCAGGCCGCGUGUGUGAAGAAGGCCUUCGGGUUGUAAAGCACUUUCAUCGAGGAGGCGUUACUCGCAGAAGAAGCACCGGCUAACUCCGUGCCAGCAGCCGCGGUAAUUC